rnacentral:rRNA from 1 species
ACCGAAUGAGACCAUGUAAAUGGUGAAAGAGGCUAAGGCCUCGCUUUUAGUUGAGCCUGCGGCUCAUUAGCUAGUUGGUGGGGUAACGGCCUACCAAGGCGACGAUGAGUAGCCGGCCUGAGAGGGCGACCGGUCACACUGGGACUGAGACACGGCCCAGACUCCUACGGGAGGCAGCAGCUAAGAAUCUUCCGCAAUGGUCGAAAGGCUGACGGAGCGACGCCGCGUGUACAAAGAAGGCCGGAAGGUUUGUAAAGUCCUUUUCUCAGAGAAGAAUAAUGUGUGGAGGGAAUGCCCUACAGAUGACAGUAUCUGAGGAAGAAGCCCCGGCUAAUACCGGCCAGCAACCGCGGUAACACGUAAGGGCAAGCCGUUGCUCGGAAUUAUUGGGCGUAAAGGGCGCGUAGGCGNCUGAAAAGCCUGGUGUGAAAGCCACAGCUUAACUGUGGGAGUUGCGCUGGGAACUGCUUGGCUGGAGUUCAGGAGGGGAAUCUGGAAUUCCUGGUGUAGGGGUGAAAUCGGUAGAUAUCAGGAAGAACACCUGUGCCGAAGGCGAGAUUCUGGCCAUGAACUGACGCUGAGGCGCGAAAGCGUGGGGAGCGAACAGGAUUAGAUACCCUGGUAGUCCACGCUGUAAACGAUGUGCACUAGGUGUUGGCUGUUGUAACGGUCAGUGCCGAAGCAAACGCGAUAAGUGCACCGCCCGGGAGUAUGCUCGCAAGGGUGAAACUCAAAGGAAUUGACGGGGGCCCGCACAAGCGGUGGAGCAUGUGGUUUAAUUCGAUGAUACGCGAGGAACCUUACCAGGGCUUGACAUAUGCAUGACGGUCGUAGAGAUACGGCUUCCCUUCGGGGCGUGCAUACAGGUGCUGCAUGGUUGUCGUCAGCUCGUGCUGUGAGGUGUUGGGUUAAGUCCCGCAACGAGCGCAACCCCUGCUGUCUGUUACCAGCACGUAAAGGCGGGGACUCAGACGGUACUGCCGGUGACAAACCGGAGGAAGGUGGGGAUGACGUCAAAUCAUCAUGGCCCUUAUGUCCUGGGCUACACACGUGCUACAAUGGUCGGUACAGAGCGAGGCAAAACCGCGAGGUGGAGCAAAUCGCAGAAAGCCGGUCUCAGUACGGAUUGGAGUCUGAAACCCGACUUCAUGAAGUUGGAAUCGCUAGUAAUCGCGCAUCAGCAUGGCGCGGUGAAUACGUUCCCGGGCCUUGUACACACCGCCCGUCACACCACCCGAGUUGGGGGUACCCGAAGUCGCUCGUCUAACCGG